AGCGGGCCCUUCGGGGUCAGCGGCAGACGGGUGAGUAACACGUGGGAACGUACCCUUUGGUUCGGAAUAACGCUGGGAAACUAGCGCUAAUACCGGAUACGCCCUUUUGGGGAAAGGCUUGCUGCCGAAGGAUCGGCCCCGCGUCUGAUUAGCUAGUUGGUGGGGUAAUGGCCUACCAAGGCGACGAUCAGUAGCUGGUCUGAGAGGAUGAUCAGCCACACUGGGACUGAGACACGGCCCAG
rnacentral:rRNA from 1 species